ensembl:snRNA U6 U6 spliceosomal RNA
GUGCUCACUUCAGCAGCACAGAUACUAAAACUGGAAUGACACAGGGAAGACUAGCAUGGCCCCUCCUCAAAGAUGACAUUCCAUUUUUUUUUUUUUU